rnacentral:rRNA from 1 species
GGGGAAUAUUGGGCAAUGGACGCAAGUCUGACCCAGCAACGCCGCGUGAAGGAAGAAGGCUUUCGGGUUGUAAACUUCUUUUAAGGGGGAAGAGUAGAAGACGGUACCCCUUGAAUAAGCCACGGCUAACUACGUGCCAGCAGCCGCGGUAAUACGUAGGUGGCAAGCGUUGUCCGGAUUUACUGGGUGUAAAGGGCGUGUAGCCGGGAAGGUAAGUCAGAUGUGAAAUCUGGGGGCUCAACCUCCAAACUGCAUUUGAAAACUGGACGGCUAGAGUAUGAGAGAGGUAUAUGGAACUCCAUGUGUAGCGGUGAAAUGCGUAGAUAUAUGGAAGAACACCGGUGGCGAAGGCGAUAUACUAGAUCAAUACUGACGCUCAGUCACGAAAGCGUGGGUAGCAAAUA